rnacentral:rRNA from 1 species
GAAGGAAGAGGCACUGGUUUAUUUCGUGCCAGGAGGCGGAGUAAUAGGAGGGUGCUAGUGUUUAUAUGGAAUUACCGGGGGGCAACCCCCACGCGGGUGGUUGAUUAAUUAGAUAUGCAAUGCCCCGGGCUCCACCUGGGAACUGCAUCUAAGACUGUCAGGUUGAGUUUUGUAGAGGGGGGUAGAAUUCCCGGAGGAGCGGAGAAAUGAGUAGAGAUGAGGAGGAACACCGGUGGGGAAGGCCGCCCCCUGGACAAAGAAUGACGCUCAGGUGAGAAAGUGUGGGGAACAAACAGGAUUAGAUACCCUGGUAGUCCACGCCGUAAAAGAUGUUGAUUUGGAGGUUGCUUCCUUGAGGCGUGGCUUCCGGAGAUAACGCGUUAAAUCGACCGCCUGGGGAGUACGGCCGCAAGGUUAAAACUCAAAUGAAUUGACGGGGGCCCGCACAAGCGGUGGAGCAUGUGGUUUAAUUUGAUGCAACGGGAAGAACCUUACCUAGCUUUGACAUCUCAGGAAUCUUGCAGAGAAGCGUUAGUGCCUUUGGGAAAUUGAAAACAGGUGGUGCAUGGCUGUUGUCAGCUUGUGUUGUGAAAUGUUGGGUUAAGUCCCGCAACGAGCGCAACCCCUGUCCUUUGUUGCCAGCACGUAAUGGUGGGAACUCAAAGGAGACUGCCGGUGAUAAACCGGAGGAAGGUGGGGAUGACGUCAAGUCAUCAUGGCCCUUACGACCAGGGCUACACAUGUGCUACAAUGGCGCAUACAAAGGGAAGCGACCUCGCGAGAGCAAGCGGACUUCAUAAAGUGCGUCGUAGUCCGGAUUGGAGUCUGCAACUCGACUCCAUGAAGUCGGAAUCGCUAGUAAUCGUAAAUCAGAAUGCUACGGUGAAUACGUUCCCGGGCCUUGUACACACCUCCCGUCACACCAUGGGAGUGGGUUGCACCAGAAGUAUAUUAGUUUACUCUCUGGCUCAGAUGAAUCGCAUAGUCUUGCCCCCGCCGU